GCUGGGCAUGGUGGCGCGUGCCUGUAGUCCCAGCCACUCGGGAGGCUGAGGCAGAAGAAUCGCUUGACCCCAGGAGGAGGCGGCUGCAGUGAGCUGAGAUUGUGCCACUGCACUCCAGCCUGGGUGACAGAGUGAGAUUCUGUCUCAA
rfam:Homo sapiens chromosome 9, GRCh38 reference primary assembly.